rnacentral:tRNA from 1 species
GGCCCGUUCGUCUAGUGGCCUAGGACAUUUGGUUUUCAUCCAAAAGAUCAGGGGUUCGACUCCCCUACGGGCUA